rnacentral:rRNA from 1 species
UACAGGGGGGCAAGCGUUGUUCGGAAUUACUGGGCGUAAAGGGCUCGUAGGCGGCCAACUAAGUCAGACGUGAAAUCCCUCGGCUUAACCGGGAACUGCGUCUGAUACUGGAUGGCUUGAGUUUGGGAGAGGGAUGCGGAAUUCCAGGUGUAGCGGUGAAAUGCGUAGAUAUCUGGAGGAACACCGGUGGCGAAGGCGGCAUCCUGGACCAACACUGACGCUGAGGAGCGAAAGCCAGGGAGCAACGGG